CUGAAGGCCAGCAGUCACUGGAACUUGCAGUAAUGAGUCACCCACAGGGGGAAAAAAGCUCCCCCAUUUCUCCAUCCCCUCAGCUUUCCUGUGGAAGUGUAAAUGAGGAUCCAUCUUCCUGAUGUCAGCGAGCCCCCAGCCCACUUGCCUCUCUGACAGCAGAAAAAUGAGGACUCAAUGAAGCAGAAAAACAAUGUUAGUCUUUGGUGGCCAGGGAAAAGGAGGAAAGCUCGUGGUGGUCUCCAGAUGAUCUGGCCCUGACUGAAGCAAUCUCCUUCCACGAGGAGGGAGCAAAGGGCUGGCAAGUGCAGGUAAAGCUGCCUGCACUCCAUGUGCUAAGA